GAUAUAAGAAAAAUAUUAAAAUUAAAUAAAAAGACUUAUGCAAAUUUAUGUAAAAGAAAUAAUACUAAAAUUAAAUUUCUUUCUAAUAUAUAUAGUUGAUAUUUUUAUACAAUUAUUAAUUUAUCGAGUCUUAAUUUAUAGAGGUUUUGUUGUAAGAGAUAAACAUGAAAGAACUAGUACAGACGGUACAAGAAUACGAUACAGACAUAACAACACUUAACAAAAUUCCAAAGUACUUAAAAAUGAAAACAUAAUACAUGAAGCAAUAGUACAGACGGUACAAGUACACGGUACAGACAUAACAACACAAUACAACACAAAAUAUACAUUUAAUUAUCAGUCGGACUCCUCGGGCUGCAACCACGCGUUGAUAUUAAUCCCAGGCUGAAACUUGUUAUUAGUCUUCUUUCGACGACGUUCCACUGUUAAUGGAAACUGGGUUUCUUGAUUUCUCCCUGGUUUAGUUGUGGUAUCCGGCAGUAAGACUAUCAAUUGUCUUAUCUCAUGAGGAAUUUAGCCGCCGCUUCUUCCUUCUCAGUUUUCACCCUUACUUUUACGUUUUGAGAC
rnacentral:sRNA from 1 species